rnacentral:rRNA from 1 species
CCAAUAGCGUAUAUUAAAGUUGUUGCAGUUAAAAAGCUCGUAGUUGAAUUUCGGGGUUCAUACGUUGGUCGGGCUUUUUUGGUCUGUACUUAUGUAAUGGAUUCCUACCUUCUGAAUAACCGGCAUGUCAUUAAUUUGGUGCGCCGGGGAAGCAGGACUGUUACCUUGAAAAAAUUAGAGUGCUUAAAGCAGGCUAUCGCCUGAAUACAUUAGCAUGGAAUAAUGAAAUAGGACGGCAUGGUUCUAUUUUGUUGGUUUCUAGGAUCACCGUAAUGAUUAAUAGGGAUAGUUGGGGGCAUUAGUAUUCAAUUGACAGAGGUGAAAUUCUUGGAUUUAUUGAAGACUAACUUCUGCGAAAGCAUUUGCCAAGGAUGUUUUCAUUAAUCAAGAACGAAAGUUAGUGGAUCGAAGACGAUCAGAUACCGUCGUAGUCUUAACCAUAAACUAUGCCGACUAGGGAUCGGACGAUGUUAAUUUUUUAAUGACUCGUUCGGCGCCUUACG